rnacentral:rRNA from 1 species
UUUAUUGGAGAGUUUGAUCCUGGCUCAGGAUGAACGCUGGCGGCGUGCCUAAUACAUGCAAGUCGAGCGAAUGGAUUAAGAGCCUGCUCUUAUGAAGUUAGCGGCGGACGGGUGAGUAACACGUGGGUAACCUGCCCAUAAGACUGGGAUAACUCCGGGAAACCGGGGCUAAUAC